UACGUAGGGGGCAAGCGUUGUCCGGAAUCAUUGGGCGUAAAGAGCGUGUAGGCGGUCCGGUAAGUCGGCUGUGAAAGUCCAGGGCUCAACCCUGGGAUGCCGAUCGAUACUGCCGGACUAGAGUCCGGAAGAGGCGAGUGGAAUUCCCGGUGUAGCGGUGAAAUGCGCAGAUAUCGGGAGGAACACCAAUGGCGAAGGCAGCUCGCUGGGACGGUACUGACGCUGAGACGCGAAAGCGUGGGGAGCAAACAGG
rnacentral:rRNA from 1 species